UCCUCUCUCACUCACUUCAGAAAUGGGAAUUCUAGCCUCGAUUUCUCCUCCAAAAUCAAUCUUUCUUCAUAAAUCCAAACAAACCAACCUCUCAUCCUCCAAAUCCGACGCAUUUGCACCCAAAGAAACAAUUGCAAGACCCAUAAAAUUUUCCAUCCCGCAAUGCUCUCUCUUUACCAAACUGGGCUAUUCAUGUUUCUAGUGUUGUUGAAUGGAUUACUGCAACGGCUUUGGUUUAGCAGUAUGGGGAGAACUCUGGUUUGAAUCUUGGAAGUGUCUCUCUUGGGGCAUGGAAACACGCACAAGAAGGAAUGCAAGACUCGGUUAUUCGAAUUACUGGAUAAUAAAGUGUAUCGAGUCCUAGCUUAUUUUUCAUAUGGUCCUGACUUCAUUUAUGGUUUUGUCAUAGAAUGUCAAAGUAGGAGUUUGUUAGGUCCGAAAAUUUGUAAUUGGCAAUUCUGUAAGACAAAACGGUCUUAAUUGUAAAAUUGUAAAAGACAUGGACUCAAUUGAACAAUGUUGUAAAAGUCAGGGACUUAGGGUGCAAUUUUAUAAAGUU